UUGAACGCUGGCGGCAUGCCUUACACAUGCAAGUCGAACGCGAAAGGGGGGCAACCCCUGAGUAGAGUGGCGAACGGUGAGUAAUACAUCGGAACGUACCCAGUAGCGGGGGAUAACCUCUCGAAAGAGAGGCUAAUACCGCAUACGACCUACGGGUGAAAGAGGGGGAUCGCAAGACCUCUCACUAUUGGAGCGGCCGAUGUCGGAUUAGCUAGUUGGUGGGGUAAAGCCUACCAAGGCGACGAUCCGUAGCUGGUCUGAGAGGACGGCCAGCCACACUGGACUGAGACACGGUCCAGACUCCUACGGGAGGCAGCAGUGGGGAAUUUUGGACAAUGGGCGAAAGCCUGAUCCAGCCAUGCCGCGUGAGUGAAGAAGGCCUUCGGGGUUGUAAAGCUCUUCUGCUGGGACGAAAAGGUCCGUGCUACACUCACGGAUCCAUGACGGUACCAGCAGAAGAAGCACCGGCUAACUACGUGCCAGCAGCCGCGGUAAUACGUAGGGUGCAGGCGUUAAUCGGAAUUACUGGGCGUAAAGCGUGCGCAGGCGGUUUUGCUAAGGAACAGGUGUGAAAUCCCCGGGCUUAACCUGGAACUGCGCUUGUAACUGGCAAGCUGGAGUGUGGCAGUGGGGGGGGUGGAAUUCCACGUGUAGCAGUGAAAUGCGUAGAGAUGUUGGAGGAACACCGAUGGCGAAGGCAGCCCCCUGGGCUAACACUGACGCUCAUGCACGAAAGCGUGGGGAAGCAAACAGGAUUAGAUACCCUGGUAGUCCACGCCCCUAAAACUAUGUCAACUGGUUGUCGGGGAAGCAAUUCCUUGGUAACGAAGCUAACGCGUGAAUGUUGACCGCCUGGGGAGUACGGCCGCAAGGUUAAAACUCAAAGGAAUUGACGGGGACCCGCACAAGCGGUGGAUUAUGUGGAUUAAUUCGAUGCAACGCGAAAAACCUUACCCUACCCUUGACAUGCAGGAACCUCGCAGAGAUGUGAGGGUGCCCGAAAGGGAACCUGGACACAGUGCUGCAUGGCUGUCGUCAGCUCGUGUCGUGAGAUGUUGGUUUUAAGUCCCGCAACGAGCGCAACCCUGCCAUUAGUUGCCACAUUCAGUCGGGCACUCUAAUGGACUUGCCGGUGACAAAACCGGAGGAAGGUGGGGAUGACGUCAAGUCCUCAUGGCCCUUAUGGGUAGGGCUUCACAGGUAAUACAAUGGCCGGUUACAGAGGGCAGCCAACUCGCGAGAGGGAGCUAAUCCCAGAAAGCCGGUCGUAGUCCGGAUUGCAGUCUGCAACUCGACUGCAUGAAGCCGGAAUCGCUAGUAAUCGCGGAUCAGCAUGUCGCGGUGAAUACGUUCCCGGGUCUUGUACACACCGCCCGUCACACCAUGGGAGUGGGUUUCACCAGAAGUAGUUAGCCUAACCGCAAGGAGGGCGACUACCACGGUGAGAUUCAUGACUGGGGUG
rnacentral:rRNA from 1 species